rnacentral:lncRNA from 1 species
AAAUAUAAUCGAAUAGGUUUAAGGCAGUAUUAUCAAAUGGCCAGCACACAACGAAUUAAUUGAUGCAAUUCUAAAAUAAAGAAAUAGCGUCAACUAAUAAUAAAUAGGAUCAGAAACUCCCUGAGUACUGUUGGUUUGAGUCGUCCCGGCGUCGAAUGUCUCCACGUUCUGAACUACUAGGCCCUGAGAUGCCAAGAUAGGGAAUUCCGUGCUCGUCGAGGUGCGGUACUGAACAGUCACUUAAAAUGAACCUGUAAAUGAUGUCAGAAAAUUAAAAUUCACGAUACUCUUUUUUUUUUUUUUUUUUUUUUUUUUGUUUUUUAAAAUUGAGAAAUAUGAACAACCAAAAAAUAUGUGGUUCAUCAAGAAAAUUCAACAUCUCUCAUUAAAUUCAGGUCCUGUAAUUGUUUGAGCCACCUUUUUUUGUCUCGUCAAUGGUUUAACUUUUCCAUGUUAAUUUUGUAGUAACUCACAAAUUUGGGCCUAAAUCACAGUUAAAACCUUAAACAAGCCCAAGCCCAAGCAAUACAAAUAAUCCAACCCAAUUGAAAUUAAGCCCAAACCCGAUUGAUACAAAUAAAUCAGCCCAAUUGAAAUUUAGCCCAAGCCUAAUUGUUAACUAAUAAACCAACCCACUUAAUUAUUAAACCAACUAACCCCAAACCAUAAAUCAUAACCCACACCCGACUGCAAUGGUAAUCGGCGGCUGGGAUGCGUAAACUCGAAGGGGAGUGUCAAACUGUGGGGCGCCGGUCUACUGGCGGCGACGCCUUGGGUCGCGCACUCGACUGCCGCGAUCGAGAACGGAGGCAAUUUGCAGUUUCCUGUUAGAAGCUAAGGCGCCGGAAGGUCUGUUCGAAGCAGCCGACGGGUGGGUUGACGUCGACGGCUUGGAUUCAAGAAACCGGCGACUGUGAUUUGGCAAACGACAGCCUAUCGGACUGGUAUGUUGGCUGAAAUUUUUUUAUCUUUUCCUUGUCUGAGGAUGACGGUUGAGGUGUGAGGGAGUUCGUUGGCGAAUUGCUGCAGAUGGUUGCUGGGGAUUUGCAGUUUGCAGAAGGCCGUGGUGGUCACGGCAGGUCAUUUGGUUUGUGGAAGUUUUGGUGCGUCUUUGUUGUGAAGUGCAGUGGACGGGAACAUAUGCAGAAACGGUGGAGGUGUGAAACUGGAUUCGGCUGAAACGAACUGUGAGCCUCGCAACGAACACCUACAUAUUUUCCCAAGUUCGCUCUGAUACCAAUUUGAUGUAGAAUAAUCCAGUAAACAUAAUAAGAAGAGAAGAGAGAAGAGAGAAGAGAGGGGAAGAAGAAGGCAGAGGCGGGGAGAGAGGAGAAACGGCUGAAGCCAACUCUUUUAUUUCAUCAAAUUCAUUGUCCCAAAUAACAAUGUAAGAUAGGUUUAAAUACUAGAAAAUAAUGCAAACCUAGGGCCAAGCCCAAUACAAAAGUCCAUAAAAUUAAAAUAACCUAAAU